AACCCAGGGAGUCAGUGCCUUGUAUUUCAACCAAACAGCUUCUGAGCAGCUGCUGCAGUUUGCUGCUUGGGUAAUCACCAUGAGCCGGUUUUAAAGCACAGCCUUGAUAAAGCACAGCCACAGGAGCAUCUGAGACUUGGGCAACACAACUGUUUUCGCAGCUUGACUGAUGCAACCCUGUUGGUCAAUCUUCCUCUCUGCCUACAACGGCCGUUUAAUUAGCAGAGGUGUGAGAAACAAACGGUUCUUGUCCUCUGCUGCAGCGUGAAAACCUUUGGUGGCCAAGAUCUUUCUUGGGAUCUGGGAAUAUGUCACACCUAGGGAAUAUGUCCUGGCAGGGACAGCAGCGAGCCCUGCAGGCACCAGAAGGACCCUUCUUGCUCUGAUGCUUGCAUUUGCUGAGAAGAACGUAUCAGGAGUUGGCUUCCCUUUCCUGACAAUCCUGUGACUGCAGUAACCAUCAACAGCCACAACCCCAGCCCAGUCAUUAACUCUGAAACCAGCCGGAGUGUGGCCAUCCCAUCGGGAAUGGUUUUCAAUGCAGCACGCUUCAUGUGACAGAUGUUGGUUUGUGUUUUGCACCCCGGGUGUAUGGAUUCAAGCCUUAAAGAAGAAACAGAAGUGAAGAAGCUGAAGAACCAGCCACUGUGUCUAGAAGGGCCUCUCCCAGCCACAGCAUCCUGCAUGUGGCCAUUUGAUGUGAGAAGGCUGUAGGUGCUGGCCCUCAGCUGGAUCCUGCCAUUCAAUGAGCAGCCCUUUCAGAAGUGCUUGCCAAGGUCAGGGGAGAGCUUACAACCUAAUGCUGCCGUCCCGUAGAUCAAAGAACGUGCAGACAUGAGAGAUCAGAACAGCCAACACAGCAGAGGCAGGCUGAGCACACCAAGGUCCCAACAGACGGAGGAACAUCAGGUUCCUGCACAGCCUGGUAUGAGCAGACCAGAGGAGCAGCUCUGCUUGGAGAGGCUGUGGAGGGAUAACAUUGGGAACACAGGCUCCCUGCACAAGGUCUGAGCACGUUAAGUCAGUCUCAUGACCUGGAUGGCUUCUGUGCUAGAC